AUGCCUAUUUUUCUUUCUACAGUAUUAAUUAGAAAGGAAUCAAUCAGAAGAAGCGACCAAGAGUUUGUCCAUUGGCGCAAAAUGAAAAGAAUGAAAAAAAAGCAUCGUUAUACUUUCAUAUUUGAACAUUCACUUCUCUCUGUCUCUCAAUGGCAUGUUUCUAGAUUUAGAGUACUUUCUUCUAUUAGCUGUUGUUUGACCAGUGUUUUUCAGCUAAUCUUCAUCUUAUAUGUAGUCCGUACAUUUAGAGACAUACUAAGGUUCACUAUGUGCGUAAAUAUAUUUUGUUUUUGGAUUAGCUACGGGGACAUAUAA
rnacentral:rRNA from 1 species